UACAGAGGUCUCAAGCGUUGUUCGGAUUCAUUGGGCGUAAAGGGUGCGUAGGCGGCUCGGUAAGUCGGGUGUGAAAUCUUGGAGCUUAACUCCGAAACUGCAUUCGAUACUGCCGUGCUUGAGGACUGGAGAGGAGACUGGAAUUUACGGUGUAGCGGUGAAAUGCGUAGAUAUCGUAAGGAAGACCAGUGGCGAAGGCGGGUCUCUGGACAGUUCCUGACGCUGAGGCACGAAGGCCAGGGGAGCAAACGGG
rnacentral:rRNA from 1 species